CGGUAACAGGCCGCUGUGAUCCCUUCGGGGUGAACUUGGCGCUGACGAGUGGCGGACGGGUGAGUAAUGCAUAGGAAUCUGCCCAGUAGUGGGGGACAACUUGGAGAAAUCCAGGCUAAUACCGCAUAUGUCCUACGGGACAAAGCAGGGGACCUUCGGGCCUUGCGCUACUGGAUGAGCCUAUGUCGGAUUAGCUAGUUGGUAGGGUAAAAGCCUACCAAGGCAACGAUCCGUAGCUGGUCUGAGAGGAUGAUCAGCCACACUGGGACUGAGACACGGCCCAGACUCCUACGGGAGGCAGCAGUGGGGAAUAUUGCACAAUGGGCGCAAGCCUGAUGCAGCAAUGCCGCGUGUGUGAAGAAGGCCUGCGGGUUGUAAAGCACUUUUAUUAGGAAAGAAAAACACGGAGUUAAUACCUCCGGACUUGACGGUACCUAAAGAAUAAGCACCGGCUAACUAAGUGCCAGCAGCCGCGGUAAUACUUAGGGUGCGAGCGUUAAUCGGAAUUACUGGGCGUAAAGCGAGUGUAGGCGGCUGCGUAAGUCGGAUGUGAAAGCCCUGGGCUUAACCUGGGAACUGCAUUCGAAACUGCGUAGCUAGAGUUUGGUAG
rnacentral:rRNA from 1 species